rnacentral:rRNA from 1 species
AAUGCCGCGUGUGUGAAGAAGGCCUGCGGGUUGUAAAGCACUUUCAGUAGGGAAGAACCAGCAAUCGGCUAAUACCCGAUAGUUCUGACAUUACCUACAGAAGAAGCACCGGCUAACUUCGUGCCAGCCCCCGCGGUGACUGAGCGGGCUGGCAAGGCGCAUA